CUUCUCAGGGCAUGUGUAGUUAUAAAGCCCCCAAAGGGGCGUUAUGCGCCAUGUGGCAUGCCACGUCACCCCGGGGCUUUAUGGGGCUUGAGGCCGUAGUGAUAAAGCCCUACCUCAUCAUAACCAAAGUGUAAAAUGCAGGGACCAAAGUGUAAAAUGCAGGGACCAAAGUGUUUUAAUGCAGGGACCAAAUUGUAAAAUGCAGGGACCAAAGUGGAAAAUGGAGAACAAAUCCCCACCUUCUCGCGCCGCGAUUUUUUUCACGCCUUUUCUUUUUUUUUUUUGAUCAUGGCGCUGGGGGGGGGGGGGGCGGUGUGGGGGGCUCCAUACCGGCGCUAUGGCCAUGGUCGCGCCCCAUUACAUACGACCUCAAAAAAAGAUAUACAGGCAUAUAGAGAAAAGGGAGAAAGACAGAGGCGGAAGACAAUAGAGAGAGAGCCGGAACCGGCGAAUCUCCGGCAACCGACCCCACGCGUGCUCGCCUCACACCCACGAGACGAAGUCGUCGAGUCUAGGGUUUCCUGGCUAGGGUUCCGAUCAAGUUCUCGCAAUUUUCGGUUACCUCCGGUGAGGUUCCGGUGAAGAUUUCGGUACCGCUCGGAUUGGGUUAGUCUGUGUUGUUCGCUAUCACACUUCACCAUCAGACUCGGUCUUGUCCGUUUCAUGUAGAUAGCACACUCCACCAUCAAACUACCAUUCAAUAAUGAAGUUUUACUUCAUUAUAUAUGGCGGCGAUGGUGAUGAAGCCGGCAACAGGUGACGAUGAUAGAUGCCGAUCUCCGGCAAGCAGUGGCUUUUGUCGGGUGGUAAUACAUGUAGUGCACUGCGACAAUACCUUAAUCACCUGCUCCACGGGUUUUCGUCGAUUGCACGAACGAUUUUCGCUGGAGGAGUUGGAUUCUCUUCCACCCAAAGCCCGAUGGUGAUGAGUAGUUCGAGCAUCAAAACUUUGAAGAAUCUUCGCUGCCUUAAGUUCUUCCUUUCUGAACUUUAAUUGAACGUUUACAGAUGGAAAUUUUGUAUGCAGAGAUAAAAAAAAAAGUGGUCAAGGAGCUAGCAGCUGAUUUCGUAAAAUGGAAACAACUACGGUGGGUGGCGGUGGCUACAAAAUCAAGUUGAGGAUUUUUUGGGUGGCAGAUUAUCAAGACCAUCAUAGCUCAUGCGCAAAACACUACCGGUCCGGAUUUUAGGAGUUGCGCAGUUGGUUUCAACAAUGGUUCACUGUAAUGAUGUUGAUCAACGGCAACAACAAUUCUUUUCGUCAAUUUGAACUGCAAAUGGAGUCUAAGCUAUGGUCUGUUGAUUAUAAAUGUCUAUGAUAUUGUGACCUAGCAAGUUUUAUGUGAUGAUGCUUACUUGAUUAUGAUUCAUUGGAGUCGAAAUUGAAGAUUUUAUCUAGAUCAGAGAUAGGACAAACCCGUUGAUGAACCUGGAUCUUGAUGCAUAUUUUUAAAGUUAUGUUAAUGCUCUUGCUAGACAACACUAAUGGUUUUUGUGUAUAUAUUUUGUUAAUGAUG